UUGGCUUCCUGAGUGUGGACUCCAAGAUUCCAGCAUCCAGGGUGCUUUCCCCACUCCCACAAGCUGCUAGAAGGGUAACCCCAAGCCCGUUCUCGGUUCUCUGCGAGGAUGACGUCCGUGUUGCUCUUCCCCUCAGCUGAGUGGAUGAAGCCCUUUGACUCAAAGGCAACUUCUUAUGAUUCAACCCUUCUCAUAGCUGAGGAUCAGAGAAUUUCAGAGACGUGCUCAAGUUCACUGAGCUAGAAAGCAGGCGAGCUGCAUUCCAGUCUUAUCCAUUUUGCUAAAUUAAUGAAUCUCAAACUUUACUAUAUGCACAAAUUCCCUGUGGGUCUUUUUAAAAAGCACAUUUUGAAUCAACAGGUCUGGGAUGGGGCCUGAGGUCCCAUACUUCUCACAAGGUCCCAGUGAUGCUGAGGCUGCUGGUAGAGUGGCUACAUGUUGAGCAGCAGGUUGCUGGAUCUUUUAGGCGCGAAGGCAGUGGGUGAUCAGGGCCUGGCUGGCUGGAACACACACACACAGACAGACACAGACACACACAGAGACACAUACAGAGACACAGAUACACACACAGACAUAAACACACACAGACACACACACAGAGGCACAGACAUACACAUAGACACACACACACACAGAGAGACACACACACACAGAGACAUACACACAGAUGCACAGACAUACACAGAGGCACACACAGAGACACACACAGACACACACAGAGACACAGAAACACACACACACACAGACACACACACACACAGAGCGGCCUGGGGAAAGGGGGAAAGCGGAGCCCAGGGAGGCGCCGAGGAAGGCAGCCGGGAGACAGGAGAGAACAUUUCACAGGCCCCCAAAGCGGAGCAGAAGAAAUUGUUUCCAGAGGCCAUUUAGAGCUGCCCCCCUCCCGCCUCUACAGCCCUGUCACUUAGCAGGUCUAGAGGUCCCCUUGCAGCUGCCAGGACUGGGUGGAGGGAGGGCAAGCAGGGCAGGGCAGACAGGGCCUGCUGGAGAAAAUCUCACCAAACCAGGCUUGGCAUCCGUGUCCCCCAUGGCCCUGUGCCUGGGGGGUGGGGGGGUUGUUGGGGGGGGGUGGCAGAGAAAAGUGGUCCAAUAUGGCUGGUCUGCACACGCCCCAGAUGCCCACAGGCUCAUUAGGAGAGGCCAGAUGGGUAACCCGAGAGCCCUGAAAAUGUGGCCUUUAGAACUGCCGACUCUAUGCUCUCCAAAAGGGAGCUCUGUCUGCUGGAUCCCAGGUAGGUCAAAGUAAAACACAAAAAGCUUGUAUCUGCUCUGGAGGAAACACAUUGUGAAGGAAAGAAAUCCCCCCAAAUUUCUCUCUGAUUUUUCUUUUAUUGUUGUAAAAGGAUUUAACAUGGAUCUACCCUUUAAUAAUUUUU
rnacentral:lncRNA from 1 species